AUGGCCAUGUUUUCUCUCUCAACACAGGUGUCUGACUAUUGCAGUAAAACAAUAAGGAUGAUUCUAGCACCAAUUGUUAAUUUUUUAAAUAGUUCUCUUGCUCAUUUAGUGUGCAUUUCAAAUGCUAAAUUGUGCUGUUUCACUUUUAGAUCUGUGGUUUACUCCCUCCCACCUAGCACACACUACCAGGAUGAGUUUCCUCCUGUUUGCAGUCACUGCUCUCCAUGUCUUGAUUCUUAUCUUACUCUUCGUAGCCACACUGGACAAGGUAAGACUCUAGGGCAGUGGCAGUUUGCUUUUUCUACUUAUGCCAUUCCCCUUCCAUUGAUUUAAUUACCGUGAGCGCUACCACCCUCCAGCAUUUCAGAGCUGGCAGCAGCUGCGUUCCCUGGCACAAUCUCCACAGGCUCAACUUUAGGGCUUAAACAUAUGGACACUUAAUUUAUAAUGGUACCACAGCUUUGCAAAUCUUUGCAGCCUGAGAAGUCCAGGUCCAUUGUGUGGGAGGAGGAGGAGGAGGAGGAGGAGCUUCUCUGGGGCAUCAACCCUGGCCCCUUUGCCUUCUUCUUCAGUUGACCAGCAGCCCUCAAAAGCCUUCUCCUCCUUCCUUGGGAAGAAGUUCUUAAUUAGGUGGCUGCACUUGCUCUAGCCAGUUGUCUUCUCUCCCUUUCCUUGUGCCGGAGAAUUUUCCCCUGGCAGAGCUCUCUCAGCCAUCUUAAAGGGGUCCGACAGCUCACCGUGGGCAUACCGGCUACCUGCCAUACCCCCCAUCUCAAUUACACAACAGGAUUUUGGCCCAUAAAUAACAUGUUGUAGUUUCUAGUUCCUUUUCAGGUAAUUUAAAGAAGCGUUUUGAUGGAUUGUUUUCAAAUUUUGUGCUAUUGUCUUAUCAAUCCAAAAGGGUUUUUUAAAAAAGGGACAAGGUAUGCAAGAAAUUGCUUUUAAAACAUACCAAUCGAUAACAUCUAAGAAAUUACUUUUCUUUUUUAAACAGUGGAAAGAACUGUGGGAACAAAUUACCUUUACAAGGUGUUUUCUCAAGUUCUGCUGUUGCUUUUCCCAAUGUAGUGCUCCUGAGAUAUUUUGGAGUACUACCCCCGAACUGCUGGCUAUGCUAGCUUGGGCUAAUAGGAGUUGAAGCCAAAACUUCUGGAGAGCACCACAUCUGGAAAGGCUGAGUUAGCAACCUUGUGAGCCAAAUUUGGGCCUUCUCCACCACACCCGUCAGUUUUUGUUUUUGUUCCUUUGGCUCCUUCCCUAUCAAAUUUCAAUCAAAGUGUGGUGAAUAAUGUUGAUUCCCAUUUCACUUGGAAUAAGCAGAAGCAAUUGACUC
rnacentral:lncRNA from 1 species